rnacentral:lncRNA from 15 species
AUGAAGUUCGUGCUUGCCCUUCUCGUCCUGUUGCAUCUCUACUACAGUGUUCAGUCAAACAGGCAGGUGAACAAGGAGAUUAUAGAGCAACUGGACAGGCUCAACAUACUCUACAAAGAGAAACGCAUCAAUAUCACAUCUACACAGAUGAUGCGUGUGACAUACAAUAAAGCUAAUGCACAGUCCUGUGUGGGCAUGUUUGUCAAGAUGCUGAAGGAUCUUCUUAACAAUGUGACGGUACAUUUCUCGGAGGACAGGGAUAUUCUGGAAGCACUUGAGGCGAACCUGGAUCUUCUAGGACCACAUCAUAAGAACAACAAAUGCCAGGAAAGAUUGACGAGGUCAAAGAAUAUCAGCCUGAUGCCUUUCAACCAGUACAAACGCUUCUUCAUACAACUAAAUGCCGCAAAGAGAUGAAGGUUGCGGCCUGUUUUUCUCUUUCAUGCAGAGCAGCUUGUUGCUAAUUAAGAGUUAUUUUGAGUUAAUGUUUUCACAUAAAAUGAAAGACCGGAGAAUGUAUUAGAUUCACAUUUAAAAUGAAAUUUAUAUAUUUAUUGGUAUUAUUUAUGUCUAUUUAUAUUACAGUUUAUUUAUUUAUUUAUUACUCUUGUUAUCAUCGGACACUUCCUGUGAUGUAUUCGGCAAAGUAAUAUUCACAAUGUGAAAAACAUUACGUCAGUUCAGAAAUGCUGCGCUGCUGUUGUCAAAUAAAUUAACUACUUUCAUAUUUUACUCUCAUUGAGUAUUUGUAAUUUUAAAAAAAGGUCAUUUUAAAGGAAAGUAGCAGACCAAUUUUCUGUUUGUAUCAGCAAAACAUUCGAUCUUUGAUUGAGAUGCUAAUGGGCUGUAAUGCCAUGGUACGUAAGGAGAGGGGGUGGGGGGUGUUUGACCCAUAAGAGUAAGGCAGAGAAGAGGAAACAGGCAGACAGAGUAAUAGAGAACUCUCAACCAUUGUCUCUUAUCUAUUCUGUCCAUCUGGUAAGCGGUUAAGAGUUAACAUGUUUGCAUGCCACUACUCGAAAAAAAAGACACACGCACUCAUUUGAACUUGCAGAUAAGCAUGACUGAUAAAUAUUCAGAGCUACGUUUUCACACCUGCAUUCACAUACACGAACACGCAGCAGCAAAGAGAGAAGGCUGAGGUUUUGUAACAUUUUGGUUCCUAAAACGAGCCCCUUUUUGGCCCUCAGCUGUCUUUCUCAAAGCACUGUAACUGUCAUCCCACAUCAGACUAAAAACACUCCAAACUUGUCCAGACAUAUAUCAGCAUCCACAUGAGCACUUGUCGUGAUUGAUGAAUUAUGUAAAAAGCUGCAGUUGUGGUUUACCUUAUCUGUUUUCACACAUCUUUUUAGUCAUGGCUUGGUGUCUGAAGAGAGCAAAUUACUCAUUACAUUGCAAGAAAAGUAAAAUAAAGAGGAUUUGACAGUCAGCAUGUUUGGGAAACCCUUACUCACUGUAUACGCACCAGCAGCAGCAGCCUCUAUGUAGCCUUUGAACUGCAUGGGAUGUGAGUUAGAGGAGCAGCAGCUGCACCUUUGAACACAGAGAAGUAGCAGAGCAGAGGGCAGGCGGAGAGAGACGCUCUGAAGUAGGCCCACAAUGCAUCUCUGCUUUGCCUGUCUACCCUGGUCUCACCUCUGACCUUUAAACUCUCGACCCUGCCCGGCUGCUGUGUCUUUGAUGUCCUCGAAGCAAGGCAGCACUCAGAGAGUAAGACCGGGGAGAAGAGAAAAGAAAAUGACAUCUUUUUUUUAUGAAAGAAUGCAGCACAUGAGAAUAAUAAACACACGGUUAUAAUAGACAGACAAUUUUACUUAUUCACAGGUUUCCAGAACAAUUUUUAAAUGAUCUUUGGAGGGCAGAGCACUGAUGCUGAUUAGCUGACCUGUUAAACAUUCGAUUAAGUGACAGAGUCAGUUUGAAGUCAAAGAAAUAGUUCCAUAUGUUAGGGAAUAUGGUUAUUCGCUCUCUUUGCCAAGUUCGAUGAGAAGAUCGAUAACGCUUUUAUGUCUAUCUGUUCAAUACGAGGCAUGAGUUAGCAACCUCUUAGCUUGGUUUAUAGACUGGAAACAGGUGGAAACAGCUAGCCUGGCUCUGUCCUCAGAUAACAAGUGAGUACAGAAACAAUGUGGUUUAAGUGGUGCUAUGUUAAGUGGGCGCUCCUGGCCAAGAAACAGUCUGGCGCACACACACACACACACACACACACACACACACACCCUCGUAAAAAAAAUUAAAGUGAGAGUGAAGAGUGGUAUUGAUCUUCUUGGCAAGAAAGCAUAUUUCUCAAAACAAUCACUGACCUCUCUGGUAGCUCUCUCAGCUAAAUGUUGGAGCGCUUGAGUUUCCUGCUGACAACAAACCUGUUGGUGCUCAAUACACACUUUUUAAGAAGAGGUAUUGACUUGUAUUGUCAUUGGUUUAAUAUGCAUUCAUUACUGGGUGUUUGUCUAUAAAAUUUAAUAGAGUCCUGAAAUAUUUAAAGAAUAUUAACAAAUAAUGAGCUGUCACAUUUGAAUUUUGUCAAUUUGUUGUUUUUAAAUAAAUCCUAUAUUAAAUAUUAGGCAAGACAAAGGAAUAUUCCUUAUUAUUAUAUUACAAAUGUAGCAUUGUCUGUUAGAGGAUCUUAUAUUGUUCUACAAAUUGGGAUAAUGGGUUACAGGACAGAGUGAGAGAUGUUAAGGAAAAUAUGGCAAAAGGAAAAUUAACACGUGUAUUAUUCUAUUCACUCAUUUACAUCAGUCUGAUGGCUUCGACCCAUCCAUUAAACCGUCUUCUAGUGUGGAUGUUUGUGAUGGAAAAGGGUGAAAGCAGUUUCUUUUCCUCCUGUCAGAAGUACUUACAUCACUGUAAGGUGACAGCUGGCAUGUCACGAUUGUUUCUGCAUCCCACUAUGCUCUGCGUGCGAGAUACCAGCUUCAACUGAACACAACAGCUAUGGGUUUGCUGACAGAUAUUGCCAGGAUUUUUUUUUUUUACAAGCAGUGCACGAUUUAUCGGUCAGAGCAGACAGAAAUGAUGACUGCGGCUGAAGGUGACAUUGGUCCGUCUGCACAUGAAAAAACUCUGGCAUAGGCGGAUGAAGAAUGUGAGUUUCUGAUGUAAUCUUCUGUCUGGGCAUAAACCUGUCUUUCAUAAAAAAAAAAAAAAAAAAAAAACCCCUCUAUUUCAUUCAUUAAAAACCUGCAACAAAAAUCCUUCACAUGGGCUUUAUGUCCCUCGAUCUCCCUCUCACAGGCGCAGUGGUUCCCUCUCUCCGUUAGGUGGCCUCAGCGACUCACUGGCCCCCUGCGUGUUUGGCCUUUGUCCUGAUUCAGUUUUAUAACUCGCAUCUUAAUUUAAUUAAACUACACCACAGUGCAGAUUUAAGUGGGUCAAAUUAAGAGACAGCGCCGCUGAUAACCGGUGACUUUAAUCUGCACUGCGAUGUGUUAUUAACCUUCCAAAGCCUUCAUCAAGAGGCCCCUCAUGACAGGUCAGGUGUUACUCACUGUGCAUUAGGCAGUAUAGCGGAAUUGGUCGCCAAAGGGCCACAGUCACAUGCUUUUCAUUCCUGCUUCACUUUUCUCUUGAAUGGGACAACGUCAGUGCGCCGGAGCGCACAGGCUCCGGGAUUUGGCCGCUGACGCGCAGGGCUGCAGGAGGAGGAGGAGGACGCAGCCGGAGCGGUGAUGGCUGAGUGACAUCUGAGGAAUGUUAUGUGUGUGUUUUAUUUAUUCGCGAACAACAGACAGCGAGUGCAUCGAGGAUAUAAUCAUCGGACUUUUCUUUGGUUUGUUUUUGUCGGAUGUGGAGGACUGUAUCCCCCUUUUUAUUUUUUUGGAUGGGACUUUAUGCUGGGAAGUUCUAAUGGAACCGACGGGACAUUUAUUUUGAAAUGUUAAAUGAAGCCACAGCUGGUGAGGUGAGUAUGAGGAUUGCGAUUAAAACAGAGCAUUGUGGGGUAUAUACGGAGGACCGUGGGAGUCUUUAUUAGUCAUGCCUUCAUAAUAACAAUGCGCUCAUGGGAAAAUCCUGCUGACAGUUGUAGCCAGUGCUCUUUAGAGUAUGCUUUUUAAAAUCGGAUCAUUGCAUUAUACACAUUAUAAUCGGCUAUUUGAGAUGCAGUCAAAUAGCACAGUAUAAUCAGAACUUACAUAAAGGGAGCAAAAAUAAACAUGAAGUGUUUCAACCAAUGUUUUAUGACAAGAACUAUUAUCUAAGUUAAUGUUAUAAAUGAAUUUCUUUAAUCCACAGGGCUUGCUGAUGAUUUUAGUGAGCAGACAGAGAGAUUCCUAAUAUUACAGCAGUGUGGGACAGACAGAAGAGCUCACAGUCAUUACACAGAGGAAUUAAGUUACCACUGCCUCCUCAGCACUGCAGCUCAAAUGAUGUCAAAUCUAAUUAACAAAGUCAGGAGGCAAAUGUCCGACUCAGAGAGGGUUUGCCUCAUCUCGCCAUUCAUCAUUUAUCAGGAGAUGCAAUGAUGGUGAUUUGUUUGCCUGGCUGGAGCACAGGAGCCUCCUAGAUUUUGAACCCUGUGGAUAUAAUGUAGCACGGCUCUCCAGGAUGACUUAAAGGAACAACAACC